CCUACGGGUGGCAGCAGUAGGGAAUGUUGCGCAAUGGGCGAAAGCCUGACGCAGCAACGCCGCGUGAUUGAUUAAGGCCUUCGGGGUGUAAAGAUCUGUCAGUGGGGACGAAACUUGACGGUACCCACAGAGGAAGCACCGGCUAACUCAGUGCGAGCAGCCGCGGUAAGACGGAGGGGGCAAGCGUUGUCCGGAAUCAUGGGGGGUAAAGAGUUCGUAGGUGGCAUCUUAAGUCGGGUGUUAAAUGCAGAAGCUCAACUUCUGUUCGGCCCUGGAUACUGGUAAGCUUGAAUGCGGUAGAGGUAACGGGUCUUCCUGGUGUAGCGGUGCACUGCGUAGAUAUCAGGAGGCACAUCGGUGGCGUACGCGCUUUACUGGGCCGUAAUUGACACUGAGGCACGAAAGCCUGGGUAGCACAUCGGAUUAGCUACCCUGGUAGUC
rnacentral:rRNA from 1 species